UGACGAUAAAAAAGAUAACCAAAUUGAAGAAGAAAGAAGACUUAUGUAUGUUGCUAUUACCAGAGCUGAAGAAAAUUUAUGUAUAAGCUCACCACAAA
rnacentral:sRNA from 1 species